AUGACUUGCAAAUUGCAAUGAAUUCAGAAUUAUAUUUAGUCAUGAAUUUGAAGAUCACAUUCAUGUGAUUACCUGUUGUCUAAGAACAACAGAGGAACAAUCAUCUGCGUCUCUUAUUAUAUAGAUUCCACUAUGUCAAAAUAACUAAGAGCAUGUUGAAGUAGUUAUUCAACUGAUCACAAUUGCAUAGUUUUUGUAAUGAUUAGAGGUAAUAAGAAGAGAAAAAAACAAUUGUACACUGACGACAUCUGUCAAGAGAAAAAACGACGUCGCUUCGACCUGCCAGUUUAAGAAGACGCGCUUGCCCCGCCUCAAGAAUCUAAAAGCUAUCAGAAAAAAAAACGCGCGAACACGGAACGAAUUUAGGGUUUUACACUUCUCCAAAUUCGCCAUGGCCAUUGAAUGCCUAGUUCUUGGUGCUGGACAGGAAGUAGGAAAAAGCUGUGUAGUAGUGACAAUCAACGGCAAACGAAUAAUGUUUGAUUGCGGAAUGCACAUGGGAUACGAUGAUCACCGUCGAUAUCCUGAUUUCUCUCUUAUCUCUAAAUCUGGAGAUUUCGAUAGUGCUUUGCAUUGCGUUAUUAUCACUCACUUUCAUUUGGAUCACGUCGGUGCUCUUCCUUACUUCACUGAAGUUUGUGGAUAUAAUGGACCUGUUUACAUGACGUAUCCAACAAAGGCAUUGUCUCCUUUGAUGUUGGAGGAUUAUCGGAAAGUAAUGGUUGAUAGAAGAGGAGAGGAAGAGCAAUUUACUGCUGAUCAUAUUAAACAAUGCUUGAAUAAAGUCAUAGCAGUGGACCUGAAGCAAACUGUGCAGGUUGACAAAGAUCUUCAAAUUCGUGCCUAUUAUGCUGGUCAUGUACUUGGAGCUGCAAUGUUUUAUGCAAAGGUUGGGGAUUCUGCUAUGGUUUACACAGGAGACUAUAAUAUGACCCCAGAUAGACAUCUUGGUGCAGCUCAAAUUGAUAGAUUGCAGCUAGAUCUUCUCAUAACAGAGUCUACGUAUGCAACAACUAUACGUGAUUCGAAGUAUGCUCGGGAGAGGGAAUUUCUUAAAGUUGUUCACAAAUGUGUUGCUGGUGGUGGAAAGGUGCUUAUACCCACAUUUGCUCUCGGAAGAGCUCAGGAACUCUGUCUAUUGUUGGAUGAUUAUUGGGAGCGUAUGAAUCUAAAGGUUCCUAUUUAUUUCUCAGCAGGUUUAACAAUUCAAGCGAAUAUGUACUACAAAAUGCUUAUCGGCUGGACCAGCCAGAAGAUCAAAGAGACAUAUACUUCACGCAAUGCAUUUGAUUUUAAAAAUGUUUAUACUUUUGACCGUUCACUGUUAGAUGCUCCUGGACCUUGUGUUCUCUUUGCCACACCUGGGAUGAUUAGUGGCGGUUUCUCACUUGAGGUUUUUAAGCGUUGGGCUCCUUGUGAGAUGAAUCUAGUAACAUUGCCAGGAUAUUGUGUUGCUGGAACCAUAGGACAUAAAUUGAUGUCAGGGAAACCCUCCAAAAUUAAUUUGGACAAGGACACCCAAAUUGAUGUGCGAUGCCAGAUUCAUCAAUUGUCUUUCAGUCCUCAUACAGAUGCCAAAGGAAUUAUGGAUCUUGUUAAAUUUCUCUCUCCUAAGCAUGUGAUACUAGUUCAUGGUGAGAAGCCUAAGAUGGCUUCUCUCAAAGAAAGAAUUCAGUCUGAAUUGGAAAUCCAAUGUUAUGUUCCUGCAAAUUGUGAAACUCUGUGCAUUCCUUCGACUCUUUUUGUGAAAGCAGAUGCCUCAGAGGCAUUUAUUCGCAGUUGCUUGAGUCCUAAUUUCAGGUUUUUAAACAAAAGUUUAAAGGACACAUCUGAUUUAGUUUUACAUAGCACAAAUGCCACGUCUCGACUUGAGGUGAGUGAUCAAAGAGUUGCUGAAGGGGUCUUGGUUGUGGAAAAAAACAAAAAAGCAAGGGUUGUUCACCAAGAUGAGCUUCUGCUUAUGUUGGGAGCAAAACAGCAUGAGGUUCAGUUUGCUUAUUGUUGCCCUGUACAGGUUGACAAUAUGGAUCAGACUAGAAGAGAUCCUAGCUCAACACAUGAUGAACUUCGUCUCUCUGAAAAGUGCUGCUGGCUUCAGAAAUUAUUCACAAAACUUACAAAUGAGUUUCCUGGAUGGAACAUUCAGAAUUUUGGGGAACAUCUACAAGCGGAGUCAUUUCAUGUAUCGACGUGUUUGAAGGAUGACUGCCCUUACAGAAAAAUUGGAAAUCCACAAAAGACAGCUGCAGUUUUUUUUUGCUGUACUUGGUCCGUAGCUGAUGAAAAGUUGGCAUGGGAGAUCAUUUCAACUAUGGAGAAUUGUCAUUUGAGUUUGGAAAAGCUUAUUCCAAGUGCUGAUUGAAAUGUGCACUGCCGGAAAGUACAUCGGGUUACUGAAGAACGCACUGGACUGUAUAUAUUGAACAAUUAACAGUGACCUUUUGUGCAUCAACUCACGACUUAUUUAGCACCAAGGAACCCACUGCUAAAUGCUGGUGACCCUUCUUGCAAACUGUUUUCGCCAGUUAUGUUGUGCAGAGAGUGUAAUUAUCGGGAUUCUUGUGUUAUAUCUUGGGUGGAAUUCUAAUUUCAAGUGUUGAUGUCUUGUGCUUGCAAGAUGCAGCAGCCUUUAGAGAAGUGUGAAAAAGGAAAGAUUCCAGCAAAAGCAACAUCAUGUACUGUUGAGUUUGUUUAGAUUGUCUCCCAAAAAAGAAAAAGGUUCGUACAGAUUAAAACUUAAACAAUAUUGGCAAUGCUGUUAUAGUCAAGUGAAGCCCUUCUUCAGUGAAAUGCUCUCAUAAUCAUAGAAGCAUACCACCUAACUGAGCCACAUAUCAGAUAUAACCCAUGUCUCAUAUGCCUACUCCGAUGUAAUUUUGCCACGUUUGGUGCGUCAAAUGUGCAUCUGCCUUCUCUAGUCUCCUCAUCCAGAAGCUGAAUUUGUAUGAAAGAAAUUGGAUAGGUGGGGACGCUUUUGAUCUUCUGGACAAAAUAUGAUCUUUCGUGUAUGCCUCCAAUUUCACAUACAUUUCCUCUGUUUAUUGUUACUUUAACAAGUACCAAUCGGUGUUUCCACCCUUUAUUUGCCUUAUUCCUUUUCUUACUGAUCAACUAGUGCUUGCAGGUGAUGGCAAUAUAGUUUACUUGAAAGUCUUCUUCCGGUAUUAUGUGGUUCAUUCUUUCAUUAUUGAAAGCAACAGGUUGAUGUUUAUUAAAAAAAAAUUAUGUGAAGAUAUCAUAUUCUUAUUAUUUUUUAAUUCAGAAGAUAUUAUAUUACAUUUC